rnacentral:rRNA from 1 species
AAACCAACAGGGAUUGCCUUAGUAGUGGCGAAUGAAGCGGCAAGAGCUCAAAUUUGAAAUCUGGUAUCUUCGAUGCCCGAGUUGUAAUUUGAAGAAAGCAAUCUUGGAAUUGGUCCUUGUCUAUGUUCCUUGGAACAGGACGUCACAGAGGGUGAGAAUCCCGUGCGACAAGGAAUUCUUUUCUAUAUAAGAUGUUUUCGAAGAGUCGAGUUGUUUGGGAAUGCAGCUCUAAGUGGGUGGUAAAUUCCAUCUAAAGCUAAAUAUUGGCGAGAGACCGAUAGCGAACAAGUACUGUGAAGGAAAGAUGAAAAGAACUUUGAAAAGAGAGUGAAAAAGUACGUGAAAUUGUUGAAAGGGAAGGGUAUUCGAUCAGACUGGUAUUUAGCUAUCAUUGCUCCUUGUGGGUGGUGCUCUAGCCUUUUACUGGGCCAACAUCAGUUUUGGUGGUAAGAUAAUCGCAGUUGAAUGUGGCUCUUUCGGGAGUGUUAUAGCUUCUGUUGAUGUUACCUAUCGGGACUGAGGUCUGCGGCUUUGCCUAGGAUGUUGGCGUAAUGAUCCAAUACCGC